AAGAAUUAUAAAUAACAGUGGCUCAUUGCUAAAUCUUUCUUAACUUUGCCAAAUCUAUUUGACAUUAACCUCUGUUUCUGUUUCAGAAAAAAAUGUAUCAGUCUGUAGCAGUGAUUUGAAACUGAACCACUAGAUGACCAUUCAGACAUCAUGACCAAACUACAGUAGUUUAAGACACUCACAACAAGUUCAUUAAUUGACUGUAAACUAAUGCUCAACACAUCAUAAAUACUAUCCAUCUAUAAUGCCAGGCCUUGGAAUGGAAUCCCUUUCUCAAAUGUUAAAAAUAUUCCAACAGACUGCUCCCUUACAUGCUAUACACAUACACAAACACACACCAACAUUGUGAAACCUUUAUAUUGCUCUCUGGACCCUUUCCUUUGUCUCCUGUCUUCAGCUCUCACUAUGAUUUCCAACUCACCUUCCACAAACUGGCCCCCUCAAAGCCACUUUCAAUUAAAUAUGUAACCCUUACUUCCUUUCUCCAAAAAAUCUCUCCAUUCAUCUUACACUUAUGGAAUUCAUCUCUGCCACAGAUUCACCCAGGUUUUGAUUCAGUCAGCGUUUUCUACAAAUAUCUUACAUACAGUGAAACAUGGUACCAUGCCAGACUAACCGAAUUCCAUUGAUAUCUGGCUGUUACUCUCUCUCCCUGCUAUCACUAAAGACUUCUUACUCUUUAAUUUAGAAAGGUCAAUACAUAUGUUAUUCUUCAGACAUAGAAAGCUAUGGGCUCAGCCUUCAAUUCUUUAGAGUAUGAUUGAGAGAAUGUGUGUGUGUGUGUGUUUGUGUGUGUGUGUGUGUGUGUGUGUGUGUGUGUGUGUGUGUGUGUGUGUGUGUGUGUGUGUGUGUGUGUGUGUGUGUGU